UACGUAGGGCGCAAGCGUUGUCCGGAAUUAUUGGGCGUAAAGAGCUCGUAGGCGGCCUGUCACGUCCGCUGUGAAAUCCCGGGGCUCAACCCCGGGCCUGCAGUGGAUACGGGCUGGCUGGAGGCAGGCAGGGGAGAACGGAAUUCCUGGUGUAGCGGUGAAAUGCGCAGAGUAUCAGGAGGAACACCGGUGGCGAAGGCGGUUCUCUGGGCCUGAUCUGACGCUGAGGAGCGAAAGCGUGGGGAGCGAACAGG
rnacentral:rRNA from 1 species